rnacentral:tRNA from 1 species
GCCAACGUAGCAUAGCCCGGCCAAUGCGGCGGUCUUGUAAACCGCAGACCGUGGGUUCGAAUCCCACCGUUGGCU